AGUGAACGGCUGGCGGCGAUGCCUAACACAAUGCAAGUCGAACGGCAGCACAGCAGUAGCAAUACUGUGGGUGGCGGAGUGGCGGACGGGGUGAGGAACACAUCGGAAUUUGCCCAGUCGUGGGGGAUAACGUAGGGAAACUUACGCUAAUACCGCAUACGACCUAACGGUGAAAGCGGGGGAUCGCAAGACCUCGCGCGGAUGGAUAAGCCGAUGUCGGAUUAGCUAGUUGGCGGGGUAAAAGCCCACCAAGGCGACGAUCCGUAGCUGGUCUGAGAGGAUGAUCAGCCACACUGGGACUGAGACACGGCCCAGACUCCUACGGGAGGCAGCAGUGGGGGAAUAUUGGGACAAUGGGGGGCAACCCUGAUCCAGCAAUGCCGCGUGUGUGAAGAAGGCCUUCGGGUUGUAAAGCACUUUUAUCGGGAACGAAACAUUGUCGGUGAAUAUCCGGCAAGACUGACGGUACCCGAGGAAUAAGCACCGGCUAACUUCGUG
rnacentral:rRNA from 1 species